CCUGGAUCAGGAAACUGUCACAAGUUUGUGGUGGACUUUAACAGGAAACAUAGCAAGCACAUCACACAUAACUCUGUUGCAAACUGGGUGCCAAAGUUGGGAGAUAUGGCUCUGUGUGUGUUUAAAAAGAAAUGGCAAUCAUGUAGAGGAUGUUUUGUAAAUAAAGUUACAUUUUGUUAAAAAAGUGUUCAUUUCCUCUAGGUACAGAGACUUUUGGGACAUGCUGGAAAAACAAGAUAUUCUGUAUUUUCUUCCUCGUACCUGUUUUCACAAUGAAAAGUUCAGGAACAUCAGGUAGAGACUCUACCCUGAAAUCACAGAUGUUUAAAAAAAAAAAAAAACAACUAAUGAAUGAAAAUAAUGAAUGUGACGUUAGUUUGCUGUGUACGUGUAUGUGUUCACUCUAUCUAACAGUGUUUCAAUCAGUCUUAGGGAAGCUGCACUUGGCAGAACAUUAUUUGAAGAUUAAUGUAGCAUAACUGGGCUGUAUGGGUUUGGAAGGCAAGCAGCUUAGCAUAGGCCUCCAAGUGUUUUGACUUUAGCCAAACAAGACAAAGCAAAAUCUUAUCUGUACUUAGCAUCCUUAGGGGAAUUCCCUUUGUUUGCUUAGUGAUUUUUUAAAAGAAAAAAGCAAUAAUACUCCCAAGCUGAUGAAUGUUUGAAAAGCACAUAAAAUGACUGCACUUUGCAGACCAUUUAAGGACUCCCACCAUGGGCAAAUGUGUGUUUGUUCCUCUGGUUUGAUUUAUUUACAUGAGGAAUGAAAACGUGUACAAAAUGAUGGACUGCACAUGGAGAAAUGGUAAAGGCCAUGAUGCAGCCCUUUGUGUUUUAGAAGUGUAAUGAAUGAUGUACAAAAAGAGCCAAUUAAAAAAAAAAGAGAGAAUGGAAUAUAAAACUAUGUGUAGAGUAAGGAGUAUAAACAGAUCAUUAAAAAGAAGAAAAGAAAAGAAAAGAAAAGAAAUGAUGCCAGAUGUGUGACUGAGGCAAAGUACAUGUCUGUCUUUAUUUGUAGUUAUGCACCAUUGAGGUAGCUAUGCUUAAUACUGACACAAUAGUUACACAAAUAUAAUUAAUACAAACACUAUAUAUAUACGCUCCGGCUAUAUGGCCAAAAGUAAGUGGACACCUCACUAUCACACCCAUAUAUGCUUGUUGAACAUCCUAAUCCAGAUUUAGUCUCAUUUUGCUGUUAUAAUAACCUCCACUCUUCUGGGAAGGCUUUCCACUAGAGUUUGGAGUGUGGCUUUGGGGAUUUGCUCAUUCAGCCACAAGAGCAUUAGUGAGUUCAGGUGCUCAUGUCAUGCAAGGAGUCCUGGGAUGUUUCCACAGUUUUUCAAAGGAUAAUAAUGAAUCUGUUAUAGAUUCUGAUUCAGAUUUUUUUUUUCCAACUAAAACCAACAGUGUGAUCAUUUUCACUGCACAACCAAACUAUAAGCUAACUGGUUAUCAUUAAAAAUAACUCAAUCCUAAAGCAAGCUGCCCCAGUGCAAUUUCAUAUUUGGUCUAGUUCAGUAUGGACUCUGAGAGGGAAUGUUUUAAACAUCAACCUUGAAGAAUUCAAACAGCUAUUUAAAAAAAAAAAACAAAAAAAAAAAAAAAACCUAAAAAGACAACAUUUUGCCAGAUGAGAAACUGAAGCAAAGCCUUGACCACUUUUACCUUCACCUUUAUACCUUUCAAUUAAGCGCCAGUGAGUAACUAUGCUUAAUACAGGCAAUAUAGGUACACACAUAGAAUAAACAAGGCAGAGGACCCAAAAGUGUGAAAGACAUGUCUGCAUGCUUGUUUAUGAUGUCAUUAAGGAUUGUGUGUCAAGCAUUCACCUUCUCUGUAAAACCAUCUUGUUUUAUGAAAAACGCAGUCCUUGCACACUUCAAGACAUAUGGAAAUAUUCUUAACUUUCAAUUCUGUUUUUUUUUUUUUUUUUUUUUUUACAAGAAUGGAGAAACGUUUGUUUCCACUGGGGGCCAUUUGUUUAUGGUGAGGCACACUGCUGAUUGCUGAGGAAAUAGUUGAGUCAUGAAAUAAAGAAUAUGGUUUCUGUAACAGUGCUUUCUAUACUGUGUCCAAAGCCAAGACAAAUAUUUCACUUAAAUACCACUGCACUGAAACCAUGGCAGGUAAUUAUGCAUGAAUAUUCCUGCUGCAUUCUUCAAGUCCUCCAGGUUUAUGGGUUCAAUAAUUUUUUUUUUUCACAAACAUAAACUAUAUAGUUCAACAAAUGUUCAUUUUCAUAAACCUUGAUAAAUCUUCAUAAUCCUCAUUCACAACUCUAUAACAUCAUACAUUUUAAAUAACAUUGAAACAAUAAUUAUCAUUUUUGAGUGACCAAGAUUUUAAAACUUUAUAUAUGACAGAUAUAAGCUGAAUUUUCAUUGAUUUGCUUGAUCACUCAGUUCACUCACUACCCCAUUUAGCUCCAUAGCGAUAUUAUUGCACCUAGUGGUCAAAAAAGGGAACUGCAAUUAGGAAAUGCAAAAUAAAGGUCCUGUGGGGAAUGAAUCAAGCUUCCCUAUGUUUGUACUGUACUGUGUAUUUUCAGUGAAGGAGGAGCAAUGGGAAGGACAGUAAACAACAGGGUUGCUUAGGUUCUUAUUUUUACACCAAAUUGGAAAAGUGUUUUUUUUUUAAAAUACUCUGUGGCAACCUAGAUCACGUUUUAUAUGAAAUAAUCAGAAUGAAAUCUAAUAAAUUUCUGCAACACAAGGCAAAGUGUAAGUGCCGAUAGUGUGUUUGUGAAGUACAGAACUAUUGUAAGAUAUAUUUAGUACAGUCUGUGUAUCUUCAUUUCUGAAGGAGUAACAGGCUGCAUUAACACCUUCCUAAAUACCUUGUAUGCAUCUCUUAAAAGCCUACAGUGUCCUCCACUAAUAUUGGCACCCUUGGUACAUAUGAGCAAAGAAGGCUGUGAAAAAUUGUCUUUAUUGUUUACCCUUUUGAUCUUUUGUUACAUUUUUAAAAAAUAUAUUCUGUUCUCAUGGAUAUCAAACAAUUACAAACACAACACAGGCUUAUAAAAUAAUCUUUGUUAAAAUAUAGGUGUGCAACAAUUACUGGAUUCAUAUGAGAUAAGUAUAUACCCAUUGAUAUUUUAAAAAAAUAAAUUGUUACACCUGGGUGACUAGGAACAGGAAAUUGUUCAACCAUGACUUCCUGUUUCACAGGGGUAUAAAUAUGAGGUAACAUAUAGACCAAAUUCCCUUUUUCAUUCAUAUUAAUGGGUAAGAGUGAGGAAUAUAGCUGUGAUGUGUGACAAAAGGUUGUUGAGUUUCACAAAAUGGGAAGUGGCUAUAAGAAAAUAGCACAAGCAUUGAAAAUGACCAUUUCCACCAUCAGGGCAAUAAUUAAGAAGUUCCAGUCAACUGUAAAUGUUAUGAAUCAACAUGGAAUUGGAUGUGUGUCUAUUAAAAUAAAACAAACUCUGGCAUCUUCAGUUUGCCAGACACUACUGGAACUUCAAAUGGGAUCGGGUUCUAUGGUCAGAUGAAACCAAAAUAGAGCUUUUUAGCUACAAAUACCGGAAGUGGUUUUAGCUCACACAGAGAGGUAGACAUAUGGAAAAGUAACCUGACUGCCUCUGCCAGAAAGCUUAAAAAGGGCCAUGGUUGGAUCUUCUAGCAGGACAAUUAUCCAAAAUAUACAUCAAAAUCAACACAAAAAUGGUUUACUGACCACAAAAUCAAGGUCCUGCCAUGGCCAUCCCAGUCCCCUGACUUGAAACCCAUAGAAAACCUGUGGGGUGAACUGAAGAGGAGAGUCCACCAGCAUGGACCUCGAAAUGUGAAGGAUCUGGAGAGAUUCUGUAUGGAGGAAUGCUCUCAGAUCCCUUGCCAUGCAUUCCCCAACCUCAUCAGGCAUUAUUGAAAAAGACUCAGAGCUAAAAGGGCACCAAUUGUUGCCCAGCUAUAUUUAAUAAAGAUUUUUUUCACAGCCUUCUCUGCUCAUAUUUACUAAGAGUGCCAAUAUUAGUGGAGGGCACUGUAUAACUCAGGCCUGAAUUCAGAUCUGGAUGUUGGCCAUACUUGUAGCAAUCUAAAAAUAUUGCAGAUGCUAAAAUGCCCUGUUUUUCCUCUAAAAGCAACUGUGGGAGAUGUACCAGUCAAAUAAAUGGUAGCUCCCAAUGGGUUAUUUGUGAAAUUGAGUUGGUCUAUUGGUCAAAAAAGAAAAAGUUCAGUACACUCUGUUAGAGAGAAUCAACAAACACCUCAACCUUGGAAAUUUGCAUGUUUCCACAAAGAGCUUAAUGCUUGAGAGAUGUAUUGAAUGUUCCACAUAUUUCAAAGAGGAAAUUCACUCUCUGUGGGCCUUUGCUCUUACAUUCUGCCUUCCUUCAUUCCUCUGGCAGAAAAAUAAUACUGCACUCCCAUCCCUCUUUGAUCUACCUUCUCCUUUUUUGCUUUUUUUAUGGUUAUCUGAAUUUUCCUACAGCAAGAAGCCUCCAACAGUGAAUCUCUCCACCCUUUAGAUCUCCCAGACAGGAGAAUGUUUAAGAGGUAGCAGCUGCAGGAAAACUGCAUUCCUUUAAUGUCAUUUUUUUCUCCCUCACCUGGCACCAUUUUAGUUUGAACUUGGGUCACUAGCUUUUAUCAGACCUAUGGAAUUUGAUUUGAUAAGGUGCAGUUUUCAGAGAUAAUAUUUGGGAUAAUUCCUCAGAGAUGGCAUGCUUUUUAACUGAGAAAACCUUGGAAAUGUGUGCCGAAACCUCACUUCACUUGACUAAUCAAGUGCAACACUUUUUGUGAUGAAUGAUACUUUAUACACCUUUGGAAGAGAAAGCACCUCAUUGUUACUCAGUCUGAAAGCCUACAGUAUUUUGCUGAUUAUUAACAUUUACAUAUAGGAUUAAAAUGCAACAAAAGCACCUAAUCAUAACGGUAUAAUACACUAUUUUGAAUAGUCUAUAAUGGUAUUAUGAAUUAAAAUCAUGAUAUAAACUCAGAGUAAAUAAAUCUUUUGGGAAUUUGUUGCCGUAUGUGUUUAGAAAUUCCUUUCACCUCAAUUCAUAUAAAGUCAUUUAUAUGUAAUGGUACAGUAGGAAUCUUUACUUUAAAAAAUGGGCAUACAAGAGAUAUAAAGCUGACAGAACAGAGUGUAUGCAAUAUGAUAAACCUCCAUCUCACUCCAAAAUAUCAAAGAAGCACAGAGUUACCAUGGUCAUGCAAUCAUGGCAAAAAAAAACAAAACAAAACAAAAACAUUCUCUUAGGAGUUGUGGGCAAGUUUAUUUUCUAUCUCCACUGUAAAGAGAGAAUCUAAAUACAACCCAUAUGAAGGACAAGGCCAGCCUUGCUAGAAAUUGCGAAUUUACUCUAAGCCAUGUUUCAUGUAAGAGGAUAAUAAUGAGACAUGCAGCUAAUAGAUUGAUUUAAUCAUGUAUUUGCCAUCAUGCCAUAUACUAAUCAUGUCAUAUAUUAGGUAGCACAAAUGGAAAUACUCUGUAAAUAAUUAAAGGUAACACACUAAGAGUAGCAAUCAGAGUGACUAUGUUAAAAGAUGUUUAAAAGAUGCUUAAAAGAAAAUACAGCUUUAGUUAGAGAGGAAAGUUAUUCUUAUUUAGAGUCGGAUUAUUUUAGUAUAUUUAAAAUUUUAAAAUAAAGUUAUUCUGCUUGUUUUUAGUUUUGUGUUUUCCUCUAAAAGCAACUGUGUGAAAUGUACCAGUCAAACAAAUGGAAACUCCAGCAGGUUAUGUGUGAAAUUGAGUUGGACUAUUGGUAAAAAUGUUUGUUUGUUUUUUAAAAUUUUUAAUAUUGUAUAAAAUUUAUGUACAAUUUCUAGUUCAAUUUAGUCUCUUAGAGAGAAUUAUGAAAUCAACAAACACCUCAAGGUCACACACUAAGAGAAGCAAUCUGAGUGACUAUGUUAAAAAGAAAAUACAGCUUUAGUUAUACGGAAAGUUAGUCUUAAUUAGAGUCGGUUUAUUUUAGUCUAUUUUCAAUUUUUACAUCAACUUAUUCUUCUUGUUUUUAGUCCUCUUUUAAUCUUAUUUUAUUAGCCCAUUCACUUGUUUUGUGUGUUUGUUAGCUUUUGUGUUGUCUUAUUGUGUUAGUUAAGCUUAUUCCGUCCUAUCACUUUCUUUAAAACUGCUCCUCACUUUAAGACUGACAAAAAGCCAGGGUCUUGCCUUUAAGAAUCAUAAAAUGUCAUGAGGACUGUUAAAUCUGAGCACAUUUCACUAAUCUCAACUGCUAUUUAAAAAGCAUAUAUAUUUACAUUUUAUUUAUUUAGCAGACGGUUUUAUCCUAAGCAACUUAUAAAAUACAACCAAAACGAUAUACCAAACAGAAAAAGCAAGGAACAAUUUGAAAUAUUUCUAUCAGGAUCAUUUACAAGUCAGAAAGCAACAAAUGGAAUACUACAGUAUAUUGUCAUAUAUAUAUAUACAGGCAGCUAUAUGAUCAAAUUUGUCUCAAUUUAGCCAUCUGAAAUCCAUCCACAUUAUUACUUGCAUCCAUUACAGAAGUAUACAGCAGAUUCUAAGAAUAACAGGAGAUGGCUCUUUAAAACUGAUUAAAACGUAUUGUUAUUUAACAAAGAUUAUUGUUCUGGUGAAGUUUUCUGUAGAGACAUUUAUUUUAAUAUUUAUGGAAGGAGACUCCAGUGUCAGCACUUUGUAACAGUCAGUGAGUUUUCAGACAGGAAAGUCUUGAGGAACGAGGACGUUGCAUUUUUCUUGGUAACAUGGCACAAUGUGUUUUUGUCUUAUUAACUUAUGGAGCGAUAAAAAGAGAAGCUGGUGAGGGACUGAAGUACGUAAUAACGUAAGUGGAACUAACUUGUAUCAUAGUCGUUCCACACCAACCAUUAACUGAUAAAAUUAUAUGACAUUUUAUGUUAUCAUUAAAAAAAAACCCUGUAAUUGUUAUUGUGGUAUCAGAGGAAUAAAAUACUUUACAACCUUGGUGUGGUAAUGCUCCUCCAUUUCAUACUAUAUUGUUGACUUUGUCAUAUUUAAAUCCUUACCUAAUGUCAUUGGUAUAUAUUUAAUAUUGCUUUUAAAUGGCAUUCCAUAGAUCUUUUUCAUGUAUUCACAUUGUUCACAAUUUCAAGGUCAGAUAAUAACAAUGGAUUUAAAACUGCUCUUCAUCAUUGGCAUUGUGGAUAUCCCACAAGAAAAUCUGACUCACAUUCAAGGUCUGAACAACAGAGACACACCUUGUUUUGGACAAACUCCAUCAUUUUCCGAGCAGUGCUUAAAUAAUUAAAUAAUUCUGAAGAUCAAUGUGGGCAACUUUCAUGUGAGAAAAAGAUGCGCAGUACAGGAGCAUUUAUUUUAUUCUAAAAUGUUUUUCCAGCUAUGGUCUAUGAUUUCUCCUGCAGUUAGAUGGUUAGGGAAGGUCUGAGGGUUUUUAUUUUUGCCCCAGGCACGCCAUUUGCUUUUCAUUGCUUUAGCAACACUCAACAGCUUGUCAAGUAUUGACAAUGUAGUCAGUUCUGUGCUAAAACUAUGUGAUGGAACACCACUUUUUGUCAGAUGGUAAACAAGAAUAAACAGUUCAUUCUUAAAAUUCAGGUUACAAAACACAAUAUGUAGAAGGACAAUGGUUCAUUCUUUUGCAGACGAAUUUCAGCUGGAACAUUUUAAGACUUGACAAAUAAUAUUCUGACUUUAGCAUAACAAACAUAACUAGAGCAGAUGUAAGAAAAUACAUCACUGUUGAACUUUAGAUGGAAUUUAAAGGACAGAAUAUGUGUACAUCUGUGUAUAUUCUAAGCAGGAAACUUUCUUUCAAAUAUGGGAUUAAUUCUGACAUUUCCAGAUGCCAAUUGUUAAACUGUUUGGAUUUCAGGAAGGUAAGGGAAGUGUGUCUAAAUGCAGAUGUGGCAGAAUUGAUAACCAGAAAAUCCUAGCAGGCAGACAUGAGAGAAGUCUCAGUGCUAUCAAUAAAUGAUCAAACUUACUGAUUAAACCAAUAUUUAAAUGAAAAAUGCAGAAACAUUUGGAUUCAUAAGCAACCAGCUGUAUAAGUUUACUUCUUACAAUUGUUAUAAAGCAUACACUCACCUGUCACUUUAAUAUUUACACCUGUACUCCUGCACAUUCAUGCAGUUAUUGUAUGCACAAUGCCUAAAAUCAUGCAGAUACAGGUCAAGAGCUUCAGUUAAUGUUCACAUCAAAUAUCAGAAUGGGGAAAAAGAGUGAUCUCUGUGAUUUUAACCGUGGCAUGGUUGUUGGUGUCAGAUGGGAUGGUUUGAGUGUUUCAGAAAAUGCUGCUCUCCUGAGAUUUUCAUACAAACAAAACAAAAACGCAAAGAGAAAAACAUCAUGUGUGCAGAGGGUCUGCAGGCUGAAACACCUUAUGGAUAAGAGAGAGCAGAGGAAAAUGUCCAGAUUGGUCUGAGCUGACAUGUCUAUAGUGACUCAGAUGCAGAAAAACUGGACAUUUGAAGACUGGAAAAAGACCAGGUGAUUUUUUUUCUUCUUGUAAUCUUCAACUGUCCAGUUUCGUUGAGUCUGUGCCCAUGAAAGCAUCAGAUUCUUGUUCUUGGCUGACAGGAGUGGAACCCGAUGUGGUCUUCUGUAGUUGCAGCCCAUCAACCUCAAGGUUCAAUGUUUUCUGCAUGCUACAAUGCUCACCACAGUGAGCAGUAAAUGACUCUAUUACUAUAUCCUUCCUGGCAGCUCAAACCAAUCUGGCCAUUUUCCUCUGACCACUUUUAUCAACAAGGCGUUUUCACCCGCAGAACUGUUGCUCACUCAGUGUUUUUUGUUUUUCACACCAUCCUGUGUAAACUCUCGAGACUGUUGUGCAUGAAAUUCCCAGGACAUCAGUAGUUUCUGAAAUACUCAAACCAGCCCAUCUGGUACCAAUAUCCCUGCCAUGAUCAAAGACAUAAAGAUCACACUUUUUCUCCAUUCUGAUUUUUGAUAUGAACAACUAAAGCUCUUAACCUGUAUCUGUAUAAUUUUUUUUGCAUUGUGCUGCUGCCACAUGAUUGGCUGAUUAGAUAACUGCAUGAAUGUGUCAGGUGUACCUGAUAAAGUGGACUGUGACCGUAAGUGCAUGUCCAUUCUGCAGUCUGUAUCAGUUGUAUGUUUUUACACUAUUAUUCCUGACAUACAAGGAAAAUAUCAAACAAAUCAAACCACUUGUCUGCCCAAAAUACUCAAAAUUCUGAUAGCUUAUACGAAAAGAAAAGAUCCAAUCAGAAUUUUCUUUGCUAGCACGUAAACUAAUCAAAUGAUACUUUGAUAUGUAUCAAAAGUAUGUUUACUCUGGACGGUGUGACUUUGUAGAGAAUGUAGGAGUGAUG
ensembl:lncRNA